CAUAAAGACCCUGUGCGGUAACACGGAUUACCCAUUUCACAGAUGGGAACACGAGAGGUCCAGGCCCUAGCUGCACUCACGCAGCCGGUCAGGGGCAGACCCUCGAUUUACAAUGAGACUAUGUUGCCACAGAAGACGCUCUUAACCCCCGUCUUAGGUGGACACAUGUUUCUAGCUGUGAAGUUCAGAUCUUUCUCUGUCUUUCCAGCAUGACUAAGGAAACUGUAUCUUACGGCAACAUACAAAAGCAAAGUUAGUUAACUUCAUAGGAGGAAGGCAAUGGUAAAGAGAUCUAACCUGCUAACUAGAUGGCUGAAUAAAUUAUAUCUUGACCACAACUAUGGAGAAGACCCAAUGCACAGAUAAAUAUUUGAAUUCUAAGAAGGUCUGCUCUUAUCAAUUUCUUUAUUCCUUCGUUCGGAGUGAAAGGUUACCAGGGAGUCAUGCCCAAGUGAAAGGCAGUAGUAGGGAUAAACUACGGGCAUGGACACAACAGGGAGCCAAGCUCAAUGUCACUUUUGCCAUGCCCAAUGUGUAGCUGUUCGUAGCAAUCCAAAUUUUCAAACUGCCUUCGCUGUUUUGAACAUUUCAUGAGUAGAGCUCAAAUAAUAUUAUUACUGCUUUUCUUAGCAGGUUAAGAAUAAUGAGGUGGUAUUCUCAUCUUUCCAUUAAGAAAAGGAAGUUUAGGUUCUAAGUAGCAGGCGCAGUACACUGCCACCUUCGCUAAGCGUAUGGCCAGGGCGUCUCCUCUGCACCGCAUUUGGGAAGUUGGUAUCUGAAUGGGCUCAAAGCCAGGUGUUCAGUAAUGAGCCCACCCAGCCCACCC